rnacentral:rRNA from 1 species
AGGAAUAUUGGUCAAUGGGCGCAGGCCUGAACCAGCCAAGUAGCGUGAAGGAUGACUGCCCUAUGGGUUGUAAACUUCUUUUAUAAAGGAAUAAAGUCGGGUAUGUAUACCCGUUUGCAUGUACUUUAUGAAUAAGGAUCGGCUAACUCCGUGCCAGCAGCCGCGGUAAUACGGAGGAUCCGAGCGUUAUCCGGAUUUAUUGGGUUUAAAGGGAGCGUAGAUGGAUGUUUAAGUCAGUUGUGAAAGUUUGCGGCUCAACCGUAAAAUUGCAGUUGAUACUGGAUAUCUUGAGUGCAGUUGAGGCAGGCGGAAUUCGUGGUGUAGCGGUGAAAUGCUUAGAUAUCACGAAGAACUCCGAUUGCGAAGGCAGCCUGCUAAGCUGCAACUGACAUUGAGGCUCGAAAGUGUGGGUAUCAAACAGGAUUAGAUACCCUGGUAGUCCACACGGUAAACGAUGAAUACUCGCUGUUUGCGAUAUACAGCAAGCGGCCAAGCGAAAGCGUUAAGUAUUCCACCUGGGGAGUACGCCGGCAACGGUGAAACUCAAAGGAAUUGACGGGGGCCCGCACAAGCGGAGGAACAUGUGGUUUAAUUCGAUGAUACGCGAGGAACCUUACCCGGGCUUAAAUUGCAGAUGAAUUACGGUGAAAGCCGUAAGCCGCAAGGCAUCUGUGAAGGUGCUGCAUGGUUGUCGUCAGCUCGUGCCGUGAGGUGUCGGCUUAAGUGCCAUAACGAGCGCAACCCUUGUUGUCAGUUACUAACAGGUUCCGCUGAGGACUCUGACAAGACUGCCAUCGUAAGAUGUGAGGAAGGUGGGGAUGACGUCAAAUCAGCACGGCCCUUACGUCCGGGGCUACACACGUGUUACAAUGGGGGGUACAGAGGGCCGCUACCACGCGAGUGGAUGCCAAUCCCAAAAACCUCUCUCAGUUCGGACUGGAGUCUGCAACCCGACUCCACGAAGCUGGAUUCGCUAGUAAUCGCGCAUCAGCCACGGCGCGGUGAAUACGUUCCCG